rfam:Oryza rufipogon genomic scaffold, chr09
AAUAAGUGCAGCUUUACACUGUUCAUAUCCAACGUUUGACAGUUCGUCUUAUUUUAAAAAAAUUAUGAUUAGUAUUUUUGUUGUUAUUAGAUGAUAAAACAUGAAUAAUAUUUUAUGUGUGACUAAUUUUUUUAAUAAUUUUUUAAAAUAAUAAGAUGAACAGUUAAAUGUUGGACACGGAUACCUACAAGGCUACAACUGUA